GGGUCCGUCGCAGGUUAUGGAUCCGCCUAGGCGAUCUUGGCUCCUUACAAGCGAGGGGUCACUGGUUCGAACCCAGUAGCGCCCACCA
rnacentral:tRNA from 1 species